UCAAACCCCAACCCUUUUCUCCGGUCGAAAUCAACCUUGGAUCUUCUUCCUUCUUUAUCGUCAUUUCAUGACGUUCGUUGUCUCUGGCAGCGGAGUAGCCGGAGAUAUACGACCGAGACUUAGCUUUGAUACUGUUUUCGAUCGACUUGAAUGGCUGAAGAAAGUAGUGGAAAAAUGGAUUGAAAGGAAAGUGAGAGAAUUAGAGUAAUUGAACGAACCAAAUGUGAGGGAUUUCUUGUGGCAGUUUUGGUACUUGGAGAGAAGAUGAAUAAUGCCGGAAUGCAACCGAUCCUCUUAGGUCGAAGACGUUCUGGCGGAGGAUCCCGGCGUGAGAAUUGAUAAAUCUCUUGUGUGUAUGAUAAAGCGCAACGGCAAUGUAGAGAGAGAAGAAAGAGAACAGAGUUUCGGUAUGGUCUUCAUUUACGGGCAGAUUCAUCUCCUUUCCCCAAUUCUGCCGUUAAAAACUCCCAAUCUGUCGGAGAGAAAGACCUCGACUCCUUUUGCAAGAAGUUCGUCGAAGCGAGGAUGUGUUGAGUUGGGUGAGAAAUGUAUGAUUAUGCCGUACGGACGCCAACGGUGCCGGCAAGAGACACACGAUGUUUGGCUGUGAGAAGCAUCGGGGAUUGUGUACCGGUCGCUGAAGGACAUUUUAGGCGACGAAGAAAGUGAAGUCGCCACUAUCGUCGGAGCAGGUGGUGGCGAGCGGCUGAACAUCGGGAUGCUUGUAUAAGUUGCGGUGCUGAAGAUCAGUAACGAAGAAAUAUAUGAUCUUCUGGAAGGCUAGGGCUUGGUUGUCCCAAGGGUAUUUAUUGCCUCACAGGAAGGCUUUUCUGUGGAAAUUAACUUCAAACUAUUGGGAAGCUAGUUAAUGCAAUGGGAGGAGUAUUGCAUACAAAAGAGAAGUCAGUUUUGUCACUGCAAAUAAUAUUUUGGCUACAGAAUACACGCUUUGCGUUGUGGGGAUAGAAGGAAGAAGGAUGAACGAUGGAUGACCAUUUUUUUUAGUGAUAAAGGUGUAUGACAGGCAGUGACAUCAAGGUAUUGAAGGUGUAUUUAAUUACAUUUCUAUCUUUCUGGUUUAUAGAUUUAAAAAUUACAACAUACAUAUUUAUCCAUGGAUUUUAUUUUUUACGAUUCUAUCUAUCUCAAGGUAUCAGGUAACUAUGUCGCCGCUCCUCUUCCAAGAUUGAUUUGAUUCCGACCAAGCUGAUUGAAGGAUAGAAAACUGAAACCAGUGGUCUCCAGAAGAAGGUGUUUUUUCUCUCUCUUUUUCUUUUCAUUUAAAUUGUUCUGCUAUUUUUUGGGAUAUUCGUAUUUGAUUUCGAUUUUUGAGUAAUUAGUGAUUAUUUUUAUAAAAGAAGAAGAAACUGAAGGAGGGAAGAAUGAAAUUCUAUAAAAUGUAUUUGUGUAUGAGCAUCAGAAGUUCCUAUUAUGAAGCUAGUUCGUUAAUGUAUUGAUAAUGUGGAUGAACUUGUGGCAUCUGGUGUGGUUGUUCAACGUUGCGAAAAUGACAUUCGGUUAAAUGAGCCAUUGCUGUUCUUGUUUUCAAAAUUCAGUCGUGAAGUGCUUAUUAAAUUUAUAAACUCGGCAGCCUUGAGGUUGAAUUGUAAAGCGGGACAACUACCUUUCUUGAAUCAGCUACCAUUGGAAGGAUACUUGAAAAGUAAGCUUUUUGGCAACCUGUGAUUGAUAAGUUUCAGAUUAAGCUAGAUAAAUGGAGGAUGUAAUUUAUCAAGGGGAGGAAGAGCUACUCCGUAAAUCAGUCCUUUCUAAUCCUCCAACAUACUGCAUGUCUUCAUUUUGAAUGCC